GUCCCAGUAGCUCAGUGGUAGAGCAUUUGCUAAAUAUGAGGAGUUUGCUGAAAUAUGACCAAAAUGCCGGGGUUUGAAUCCCUGCUGGGUCU